AGGGGUAGAGUUCUUCGGAACUUGAGACCGGCGCACGGGUGCGUAACGCGUAUGCAAUCUACCUUAUACAGGGGAAUAGCCCAGAGAAAUUUGGAUUAAUGCCCCAUAGUGUUAUAGAAUCGCAUGGUUUUAUAACUAAAGUUCCAACGGUAUAAGAUGAGCAUGCGUCCCAUUAGUUAGUUGGUAAGGUAACGGCUUACCAAGACAAUGAUGGGUAGGGGUCCUGAGAGGGAGAUCCCCCACACUGGUACUGAGACACGGACCAGACUCCUACGGGAGGCAGCAGUGAGGAAUAUUGGUCAAUGGGCGCAAGCCUGAACCAGCCAUGCCGCGUGCAGGAAGACGGUCCUAUGGAUUGUAAACUGCUUUUAUACAGGAAGAAACCUCCCUACGUGUAGGGACUUGACGGUACUGUAGGAAUAAGGAUCGGCUAACUCCGUGCCAGCAGCCGCGGUAAUACGGAGGAUCCAAGCGUUAUCCGGAAUCAUUGGGUUUAAAGGGUCCGUAGGCGGCCUUAUAAGUCAGUGGUGAAAUCUCCUAGCUCAACUAGGAAACUGCCAUUGAUACUGUAGGGCUUGAAUUUUUGUGAAGUAACUAGAAUAUGUAGUGUAGCGGUGAAAUGCUUAGAUAUUACAUGGAAUACCAAUUGCGAAGGCAGGUUACUAACAAACGAUUGACGCUGAUGGACGAAAGCGUGGGGAGCGAACAGGAUUAGAUACCCUGGUAGUCCACGCCGUAAACGAUGGAUACUAGCUGUUCGGAGCAAUCUGAGUGGCUAAGCGAAAGUGAUAAGUAUC
rnacentral:rRNA from 1 species